AUGCUGCUGCCUGGAGCAGUGGCGUGCAGAGGAGGCAGCCUGAUCCACAGCAGCAGCAGGAUCCUGGGAGAAGUUUGCAGCAAGGCUCCUUUCCAAACCAUCCUUUGGCAGACAGUACAACAAGCCUCAUUGACUUCACAGGAACAGCCACCUCCUGUUUGCAUUGAGCCUGCCUCUUACUACUGUCACUUGAUGGGCCACGGUUCUCAUGCAAGAAGAAAUAAAAAGAAGUCAAUCUCUA